CAACCAGAACCGGAACCCGAACCCCGUUUUGCAGCUUCUCCGUUUCUCUGUUAAACGAACAUUCUCACAUGGCGGUUAUGUCACUGGGUCCCAUUGCCCACGGCUCUCGUUAAUGGCUUACAUUCUCUUCUGAUUCUUUGCCUUUCCUCUAUCCAAAUCCUUUUCUUUAUAUAUAUCUCUCUUGCCAAAUUCAUCUUUACUAAGUCAGGUCUCUCCCGUUCUUUUCUCUUCUUUCACAUUAGUAACAUCUAGUUUCCCUGGAAAAAAGGUCUUAAAUAGUCUAGAGAACAAAGAAAAAUCCCAUUUCUCCUCCUUAGAGAUUGACCAGAGAUGUCACAUGGUUUGCACUCCCUGGAAACCUGUACCUAUAACGGGAUGGAUAUGACAGUGCUUGAAAGACAGCAGGCAAGGUUGAAAUGGCAGCAGCUGCAAAACUAUGGGGUCCAAAAUAAUAAUCCUACUGAAUUAUGUGCAAGUUCAGUGCCUCAAAUUCAGGGUUUUCUCGGAAGCAGUUUAGGUAGUGGACAGUUAGUUGAGAUGAAAAAGCCAGAAGUUUACCUGGGUAGUGAUGAUUUUCCCAAAUUUGUGAACUUUUCAGUAGCUGGACCAGAGUUUAGUGCCAGUAAGAUGGAUUUGGUGCCGCCAGAGGAUGCUGCAGAUUACUGUAUCUCUGGGACUUCUAGUUGUCAGAUGACAGCUUUCCAGACAGCUGUUAUGAACGAGGAAAGAGAGGACGUGAUUUUGAAGAAAAUGGAGUCCACCACCGGCAGAGAGAGCUUUAGCAAGAGAAAAGCUGAGGCUGUUCAAGACGAUAAAUGCAAAGAUAAGAGGGUUAAAGGAGAAGUGGAAGGGGAAUCUGAGGUCAAAACAAAAUGCAGUACAGAAGUUUCCAGAAACUCUUCAAAGGAGAACUCCAAGGCUUCCGAGGUCCAGAAGCCAGAUUACAUUCAUGUAAGAGCACGUCGUGGCCAGGCUACUGACAGUCACAGCUUGGCAGAAAGAGCUAGGAGGGAAAAGAUUAGUAAGAAGAUGAAAUGCUUGCAAGAUUUAGUCCCUGGGUGCAACAAAAUCACAGGCAAAGCUGGAAUGCUUGAUGAAAUAAUCAACUAUGUUCAAUCUCUCCAAAGACAGGUUGAGUUCUUGUCUAUGAAACUUGCUGCUGUAAAUCCAAGUGUAGAAUUCAAUGUUGACAACCUCCCUGCAAAAGAGUUUCCUGCUUAUGUCGCCAAUUUUCCAGCAGCCGCCAAGUCACCAGCAAUGGCCAAUUUGGCCUGCCUUCAGUUCAAUCCCUUGCAAAAAGCUGUAAGUUGCAUGUUAGAUGCAACAAUGCACCCUCCUCAAACAGCAACUGAAGGAAUUGCGAGUGCUUCUGUAUCUAUCCCAGAACAAGCUCUCAGCUCAUCCUGCAUCACUCAACUGCAACCAUUUUCAACUUGGAACACGGACCCUCGAGGUCUUUACAAUGUGUACAAUAUGGGGUUUCAUUAAAGAAUGAUCAACUAAUUUUUGUCUCCCAUCUCGACAGAUACCAUUCCUGGAAUCCAAUCAGGCUCAAGAUGGAAUGCAAUUUUAGAUGCUACUAUUCACCCUCUUACAGGAUUUACUUCAAAGAUUAUGAGAUGUCUUUCUAGCCACUGGUAGUGAGGAGAGGAAGUGGACAGGACCACACUAGACCACCAUAAAAAGCUGAUAGGAAUAGAAAAUGACAGAGGAAGCAUUCGGUUGGAAAACUUUAAAUCAUUGUGGGGGCAAGGAAGAUGAUAGAGGUGAAAUGAAAAGUGUAGGAGCCAGUGACAGGAUGGCCCUGAUGCCGCCCAACUUGUGCCUUCAUUGGAUGAGCUUUGGCAGCUUGCAAAAAACUUUCCUUUGCAGAACAAAAAAACAUGGGCAGUUCAAUCAGAUAAAGAUAUAAAACACUUGGGAUUACGCUUGAAAUUCUUCAUUAUUACGGAGGCCGUAAGCUGUUUUCUCAUUCUUUCUCCAGAAACCUGGUGGAUCUACCUUCCCAGUAUCAAUUCAAGUCUAUGUUGUUUUUGGCACUUCUCUUCCUAAUUUCGACUUUUCUCCUAUAAUAUCUCUGUUUUCUCUUUUUUUCAAUUAGCAUUAUAUGAAUAUAUUUUUUAAUUAAUAUCCCGUAAAUAAGUUC